CACGGAGUUAGCCGGGGCUUAUUCCCCAGAUACUGUCAUUAUCAUCUCUGGUAAAAGAGCUUUACAACCCUAAGGCCUUCAUCACUCACGCGGCAUUGCUGGAUCAGGGUUGCCCCCAUUGUCCAAUAUUCCCUACUGCUGCCUCCCGUAGGAGUCUGGGCCGUGUCUCAGUCCCAGUGUGGCUGAUCAUCCUCUCAGACCAGCUAAGGAUCGUCGCCUUGGUAGGCCUUUACCCCACCAACUAGCUAAUCCUACGCGGGCUCAUCCCUGGGCGAUAAAUCUUUGGACUUUCGUCAUCAUCCGGUAUUAGCGUCAGUUUCCCGACGUUAUUCCGAACCCAAGGGCAGAUUCCCACGCGUUACGCACCCGUGCGCCACUAGAUCCGAAGAUCUCGUUCGACUUGCAUGUAUUAGGCAUGCCGCCAGCGUUCGUUCUGAGCCAGGAUCAAACUCU
rnacentral:rRNA from 1 species